rnacentral:rRNA from 1 species
CCUACGGGAGGCAGCAGUGGGGAAUUUUGGACAAUGGGGGCAACCCUGAUCCAGCCAUGCCGCGUGAGUGAAGAAGGCCUUCGGGUUGUAAAGCUCUUUCAGCCGGGAAGAAAUCGUAUGGGUUAAUACCCUGUGCGGAUGACGGUACCGGAAUAAGAAGCACCGGCUAACUACGUGCCAGCAGCCGCGGUAAUACGUAGGGUGCGAGCGUUAAUCGGAAUUACUGGGCGUAAAGCGUGCGCAGGCGGUUUGUUAAGAUAGGCGUGAAAUCCCCGGGCUCAACCUGGGAACUGCGCUUAUGACUGGCAAGCUAGAGUACGGCAGAGGGGGGUGGAAUUCCACGUGUAGCAGUGAAAUGCGUAGAGAUGUGGAGGAACACCAAUGGCGAAGGCAGCCCCCUGGGUCGAUACUGACGCUCAUGCACGAAAGCGUGGGUAGCAAACAGGAUUAGAUACCCUGGUAGUCCACGCCCUAAACGAUGUCAACUAGGUGUUGGGAGGGUUAAAACCUUUUAGUACCGGAGCUAACGCGUGAAGUUGACCGCCUGGGGAGUACGGCCGCAAGGUUAAAACCUCAAAUGAAUUGACGG